ACUCCUACGGGAGGCAGCAGUAGGGAAUCUUCCACAAUGGGCGCAAGCCUGAUGGAGCAACACCGCGUGAGUGAAGAAGGGUUUCGGCUCGUAAAGCUCUGUUGUUAAAGAAGAACACGUAUGAGAGUAACUGUUCAUACGUUGACGGUAUUUAACCAGAAAGUCACGGCUAACUACGUGCCAGCAGCCGCGGUAAUACGUAGGUGGCAAGCGUUAUCCGGAUUUAUUGGGCGUAAAGAGAGUGCAGGCGGUUUUCUAAGUCUGAUGUGAAAGCCUUCGGCUUAACCGGAGAAGUGCAUCGGAAACUGGAUAACUUGAGUGCAGAAGAGGGUAGUGGAACUCCAUGUGUAGCGGUGGAAUGCGUAGAUAUAUGGAAGAACACCAGUGGCGAAGGCGGCUACCUGGUCUGCAACUGACGCUGAGACUCGAAAGCAUGGGUAGCGAACGGGAUUAGAUACCCUGGUAGG
rnacentral:rRNA from 1 species